AGAAAGUUUGAGAAAAUAGAGCUCUUUAAUUUGGAAGGAAGUCAAAUGCAUUCUCAACUAUCAUGUAUGGCUGCCCAAAGAAUGAAUCUGAGAAAUUGAAACUUCAAAUCUCAUGCCACGCAUGAUUGACCAUGACAGACAAAAUUUCGACAAAAGUAAAGAGAUUGAACAUCGCAGAUUUGAAAACCAAAUUGGGAUACACUGAUCGAAAAUGAAGGCAUGUGUGGUUCCUUCCUCCGAUUCAACUAAGAACACAGGCAUGGAGUACACCAUUAAACUAACA
rnacentral:lncRNA from 1 species